rnacentral:tRNA from 1 species
AGUUAAUGAGCUUGUUAAGCGUCUACCUUGAAAGUAUAAGAAAGGGAAUUCUCCCUAUUAACUU